UUUAACUCCGAUUCUACAAACUUGACAAUUUUAGAUACCUCAAGAAGAACCAAACUCCAAACAACAUAAAGGCAUUUGUUUGCCUUCAACUACUAAUAAGCUGGGUCAACCCAACUCUAAUUUCCUGCUAAAUUUCUGAAGAAUGAUAUGGACUUCACAUCUAGGAAAAGACAAGUCUCCGAUGACAUCCCUGGAGCCAAUGCUGUGGAGUGUUUUGCUUAUAUUUUCUUCUAUUUUAUGAUGUCAGGUCUUACAUUCAA